CAAUAGCGUAUAUUUAAGUUGUUGCAGUUAAAAAGCUCGUAGUUGGAUUUCGGGUGGGACGCAGCGGUCUCGCAUUGCGUUUGUACUGCUGCAGCCCUCCUUCUUGCCGGGGGCGGCCUCUCGGACUUCACUGUCUGGGGGUCAGAAUCGGCGAUGUUACUUUGAGUAAAUUAGAGUGUUCAAAGCAAGCUUACGCUCUGAAUAUAAUAGCAUGGGAUAACACGACAGGACUCUGGCCUAUCGUGUUGGUCUAUAGGACCAGAGUAAUGAUUAAGAGGGACAGUCGGGGGCAUUCGUAUUCCGUUGUCAGAGGUGAAAUUCUUGGAUUUACGGAGGACGAACAUCUGCGAAAGCAUUUGCCAAGGAUGUUUUCAUUG
rnacentral:rRNA from 1 species